rnacentral:tRNA from 1 species
GCAGGCGUAGUUUAAUGGUAGAACUUCAGCUUCCCAAGCUGUCAGUACGGGUUCGAUUCCCGCCGCUUGCUCCA